ACUCCUACGGGAGGCAGCAGUGGGGAAUUUUGGACAAUGGGCGAAAGCCUGAUCCAGCAAUGCCGCGUGUGUGAAGAAGGCCUUCGGGUUGUAAAGCACUUUUGUCCGGAAAGAAAUCCCUGGUGUGUAAUACAGUGCGGGGGAUGACGUACCGAAG
rnacentral:rRNA from 1 species